GGAUUAGAUACCCUGGUAGUCCUAGCUGUAAACGAUGGAUACUAGACGUAGGAACUGGAUUGACGGUUUCUGUGUCGUAGCUAACGCGUUAGGUACUCCGCCUGGGGACUACGGCCGCAAGGCUGAAACUCAAAGGAAUUGACGGGGACCCGCACAAGCGGUGGAACAUGUGGUUUAAUUCGAUGCAACGCGAAGAACCUUACCUGGACUUGACAUGUUAGUGAAAUCUCUGUGAAAGCAGAGCCUUCUGCGAGCUUGCCCAAAGACACUAUCACAGGUGAUGCAUGGCUGUCGUCAGCUCGUGCCG
rnacentral:rRNA from 1 species